AGUGAACGCUGGCGGUAGGCCUAACACAUGCAAGUCGAACGGCAGCACAGCAGUAGCAAUACUGUGGGUGGCGAGUGGCGGACGGGUGAGGAAUACAUCGGAAUCUACCUUUUCGUGGGGGAUAACGUAGGGAAACUUACGCUAAUACCGCAUACGACCUUAGGGUGAAAGCGGAGGACCUUCGGGCUUCGCGCGGAUAGAUGAGCCGAUGUCGGAUUAGCUAGUUGGCGGGGAAAGGCCCACCAAGGCUACGAUCCGUAGCUGGUCUGAGAGGAUGAUCAGCCACACUGGAACUGAGACACGGUCCAGACUCCUACGGGAGGCAGCAGUGGGGAAUAUUGGACAAUGGGCGCAAGCCUGAUUCA
rnacentral:rRNA from 1 species